rnacentral:tRNA from 1 species
UCCCUGGUGGCUCAGACAGUAAAGAAUCUGCCUGCAAUGCAGACUACCCAGGUUCGAUUCCUGGGUUGGGAA